UUUGAUCAUGGCUCAGAUUGAACGCUGGCGGCAGGCUUAACACAUGCAAGUCGAGCGGUAACAGGGGGAGCUUGCUCCCUGCUGACGAGCGGCGGACGGGUGAGUAAUGCAUAGGAAUCUGCCCGGUAGUUGGGGAUAGCCCGGGGAAACCCGGAUUAAUACCGAAUACGCCCUACGGGGGAAAGCAGGGGAUCUUCGGACCUUGCGCUAUCGGAUGAGCCUAUGUCGGAUUAGCUGGUUGGUGGGGUAACGGCCUACCAAGGCGACGAUCCGUAGCUGGUCUGAGAGGAUGAUCAGCCACAUCGGGACUGAGACACGGCCCGAACUCCUACGGGAGGCAGCAGUGGGGAAUAUUGGACAAUGGGGGCAACCCUGAUCCAGCCAUGCCGCGUGUGUGAAGAAGGCUUUCGGGUUGUAAAGCACUUUCAGUGAGGAGGAAAACCUGAUGGCUAAUACCCAUGAGGCUUGACGUUACUCACAGAAGAAGCACCGGCUAACUCCGUGCCAGCAGCCGCGGUAA
rnacentral:rRNA from 1 species